AAUGAACGCUGGCGGCAGGCUUAACACAUGCAAGUCGGACGAGAUCUUCGGAUCUAGUGGCAGACGGGUGAGGAACACGUGGGAACAUCCCUUUCAGUUCGGAAUAACGUUGGGAAACUAACGCUAAUACCGGAUACGUCCUUCGGGAGAAAGAUUUAUCGCUGAAAGAUUGGCCCGCGUCUGAUUAGCUAGUUGGUGAGGUAACGGCUCACCAAGGCUACGAUCAGUAGCUGAUCUGAGAGGAUGAUCAGCCACAUUGGGACUGAGACACGGCCCAAACUCCUACGGGAGGCAGCAGUGGGGAAUAUUGGACGAUGGGCGCAAGCCUGAUCCAGCCAGGCCGCGUGAGUGACGACGGCCUUCGGGUUGUAAAGCUCUUUUGUCCGGGAAGAUAAUGACUGUACCGGAAGAAUAAGCCCCGGCAAACUUCGUGCCAGCCGCCGCGGUAA
rnacentral:rRNA from 1 species